rnacentral:rRNA from 1 species
GAUGAACGCUGGCGGCGUGCCUAAUACAUGCAAGUCGAGCGAACAGAUGAGGAGCUUGCUCCUCUGACGUUAGCGGCGGACGGGUGAGUAACACGUGGAUAACCUACCUAUAAGACUGGGAUAACUUCGGGAAACCGGAGCUAAUACCGGAUAAUAUAUUGAACCGCAUGGUUCAAUAGUGAAAGACGGUUUUGCUGUCACUUAUAGAUGGAUCCGCGCCGCAUUAGCUAGUUGGUAAGGUAACGGCUUACCAAGGCGACGAUGCGUAGCCGACCUGAGAGGGUGAUCGGCCACACUGGAACUGAGACACGGUCCAGACUCCUACGGGAGGCAGCAGUAGGGAAUCUUCCGCAAUGGGCGAAAGCCUGACGGAGCAACGCCGCGUGAGUGAUGAAGGUCUUCGGAUCGUAGAACUCUGUUAUUAGGGAAGAACAAAUGUGUAAGUAACUAUGCACGUCUUGACGGUACCUAAUCAGAAAGCCACGGCUAACUACGUG